GGCACCUGUGUGUAUUUAUUCAACUUGUGGUCUAAGACUCAUGGACAAGUGCAAAAAAUGAAUCCAUUCUUCCAAGCCAGAAGUCAUCAUUCAGUAUGAGUUCUGAUACAUAUAAGCCAGAAUAUC
ensembl:snoRNA